UACGGAGGAUGCAAGCGUUAUCCGGAUUUAUUGGGUUUAAAGGGUGCGCAGGCGGAACGGUAAGUCAGUGGUGAAAGCCUACAGCUCAACUGUAGAAUUGCCAUUGAUACUGUCGUUCUUGAGUAUAGUUGGAGUGUGCGGAAUGUAUCAUGUAGCGGUGAAAUGCUUAGAUAUGAUACAGAACACCAAUCGCGAAGGCAGCUCACUAAGCUAUAACUGACGCUCAGGCACGAAAGCGUGGGGAUCAAACAGGAUUAGAGACCCUGGUAGUCCACGCCCUAAACUAUGAUCACUCGAUGUUGGCGAUAUACAGUCAGCGUCUGAGCGAAAGCAUUAAGUGAUCCACCUGGGGAGUACGAUCGCAAGGUUGAA
rnacentral:rRNA from 1 species